GAUGAACGCUGGCGGCGUGCCUAAUACAUGCAAGUCGAGCGAACAGAUGAGGAGCUUGCUCCUCUGACGUUAGCGGCGGACGGGUGAGUAACACGUGGAUAACCUACCUAUAAGACUGGGAUAACUACGGGAAACCGGAGCUAAUACCGGAUAAUAUAUUGAACCGCAUGGUUCAAUAGUGAAAGACGGUUUUGCUGUCACUUAUAGAUGGAUCCGCGCCGCAUUAGCUAGUUGGUAAGGUAACGGCUUACCAAGGCAACGAUGCGUAGCCGACCUGAGAGGGUGAUCGGCCACACUGGAACUGAGACACGGUCAAGACUCCUACGGGAGGCAGCAGUAGGGAAUCUUACGCAAUGGGCGAAAGCCUGACGGAGCAACGCCGCGUGAGUGAUGAAGGUCUUCGGAUCGUAAAACUCUGUUAUUAGGGAAGAACAAAUGUGUAAGUAACUAUGCACGUCUUGACGGUACCUAAUCAGAAAGCCACGGCUAACUACGUG
rnacentral:rRNA from 1 species